rnacentral:snoRNA from 1 species
ACCGUCCAAAUGUUUUUCUAAUCAAAUAUAGACACUGGUUGAGUGGUUGUAAAAAGGAGGAAAAGUGAAAUUGAAACUGAAUUCAUUUUCUUUUGUGACACAGGAGCUAGUUUCAAGCAAAC